UUGUACAACUUGGNGANUNGGAAUAACUUUACGCUGAUCGCACGGUCAUCGCACCGGNGANGCAUCUUUCAAAUGUCUGCCUUAUCAACUGUCGAUGGUAGGUUCUGCGCCUACCAUGGUUGUAACGGGUAACGGGGAAUCAGGGUUCGAUUCCGGAGAGGGAGCCUGAGAAACGGCUACCACAUCCAAGGAAGGCAGCAGGCGCGCAAAUUACCCACUCCCGGCACGGGGAGGUAGUGACGAAAAAUAACGAUACGGGACUCAUCCGAGGCCCCGUAAUCGGAAUGAGUACACUCUAAACCCUUUAACGAGGAUCAAUUGGAGGGCAAGUCUGGUGCCAGCAGCCGCGGUAAUUCCAGCUCCAAUAGCGUAUAUUAAAGUUGUUGCGGUUAAAAAGCUCGUAGUCGAAUUUGUGUCUCGCGCCGCCGGUUCAUCGUCCGCGGUGUUAACUGGCGAGUCGCGAGACGUCCUGCCGGUGGGCUUAGCUCGCGAGGGCGGCCCAACUCAAUCCUGCCGCGGUGCUCUUCAUUGAGUGUCGAGGUGGGCCGGCACGUUUACUUUGAACAAAUUAGAGUGCUUAAAGCAGGCUAAAACUUCGCCUGAAUACUGUGUGCAUGGAAUAAUGGAAUAGGACCUCGGUUCUAUUUUGUUGGUUUUCGGAACCCCGAGGUAAUGAUUAAUAGGAACGGAUGGGGGCAUUCGUAUUGCGACGUUAGAGGUGAAAUUCUUGGAUCGUCGCAAGACGGANNNNNNNNNNNGCUUUGCCAAAAACGCUUUCAUUGAUCAANAACNAAAGUUAUAGGUUCGAANGCGAUCACAUACCGCCCUAGUUCUAACCAUAAACGAUGCCAGCUAGCGAUCCGUCGACGUUCCUCCGAUGACUCGACGGGCAGCUUCCGGGAAACCAAAGCUUUUGGGUUCCGGGGGAAGUAUGGUUGCAAAGCUGAAACUUAAAGGAAUUGACGGAAGGGCACCACCAGGAGUGGAGCCUGCGGCUUAAUUUGACUCAACACGGGAAACCUCACCAGGCCCGGACACCGGAAGGAUUGACAGAUUGAGAGCUCCUUCUUGAUUCGGUGGGUGGUGGUGCAUGGCCGUUCUUAGUUGGUGGAGCGAUUUGUCUGGUUAAUUCCGAUAACGAACGAGACUCUGGCCUGCUAACUAGGCGUAUUUUGACAUCCUAAAGGCCCGCCGGCUUGGGGUUCGCUCCUUGUCGUGCGCGGUUUUUACUGUCGGCGUACAAACAAUUCUUCUUAGAGGGACAGGCGGCUUCUAGCCGCACGAGAUUGAGCAAUAACAGGUCUGUGAUGCCCUUAGAUGUUCUGGGCCGCACGCGCGCUACACUGAAGGAAUCAGCGUGUCCUCCCUGGCCGAGUGGCCCGGGUAACCCGCUGAACCUCCUUCGUGCUAGGGAUUGGGGCUUGCAAUUGUUCCCCAUGAACGAGGAAUUCCCAGUAAGCGCGAGUCAUAAGCUCGCGUUGAUUAGUUCCUGCCCUUU
rnacentral:rRNA from 1 species